UUUGCCUACGGGACGCAGCAGUGAGGAAUAUUGGUCAAUGGGCGCAGGCCUGAACCAGCCAAGUAGCGUGAAGGAUGACUGCCCUAUGGGUUGUAAACUUCUUUUAUAUGGGAAUAAAGUUUUCCACGUGUGGAAUUUUGUAUGUACCAUAUGAAUAAGGAUCGGCUAACUCCGUGCCAGCAGCCGCGGUACUACGGAGGAUCCGAGCGUUAUCCGGAUUUGUUGGGUUUAAAGGG
rnacentral:rRNA from 1 species